rnacentral:tRNA from 1 species
GGGUCUGUAGAUCAGUUGGUUCAAUCGCACCCCUGAUAAGGGUGAGGUCGGUGGUUCAAGUCCACCAGACCCACCA